AUUGAACGCUGGCGGCGUGCCUUACACAUGCAAGUCGAACGGCAGCACGGAGCUUGCUCUGGUGGCGAGUGGCGAACGGGUGAGUAAUAUAUCGGAACGUACCCUAGAGUGGGGGAUAACGUAGCGAAAGUUACGCUAAUACCGCAUACGGUCUAAGGAUGAAAGUGGGGGAUCGCAAGACCUCAUGCUCGUGGAGCGGCCGAUAUCUGAUUAGCUAGUUGGCAGGGUAGAAGCCUACCAAGGCAUCGAUCAGUAGCUGGUCUGAGAGGACGACCAGCCACACUGGAACUGAGACACGGUCCAGACUCCUACGGGAGGCAGCAGUGGGGAAUUUUGGACAAUGGGCGAAAGCCUGAUCCAGCAAUGCCGCGUGAGUGAAGAAGGCCUUCGGGUUGUAAAGCUCUUUUGUCAGGGAAGAAACGGUGGGAGCUAAUAUCUCUUGCUAAUGACGGUACCUGAAGAAUAAGCACCGGCUAACUACGUGCCAGCAGCCGCGGUAAUACGUAGGGUGCAAGCGUUAAUCGGAAUUACUGGGCGUAAAGCGUGCGCAGGCGGUUUUGUAAGUCUGAUGUGAAAUCCCCGGGCUCAACCUGGGAAUUGCAUUGGAGACUGCAAGGCUAGAAUCUGGCAGAGGGGGGUAGAAUUCCACGUGUAGCAGUGAAAUGCGUAGAUAUGUGGAGGAACACCGAUGGCGAAGGCAGCCCCCUGGGUCAAGAUUGACGCUCAUGCACGAAAGCGUGGGGAGCAAACAGGAUUAGAUACCCUGGUAGUCCACGCCCUAAACGAUGUCUACUAGUUGUCGGGUCUUAAUUGACUUGGUAACGCAGCUAACGCGUGAAGUAGACCGCCUGGGGAGUACGGUCGCAAGAUUAAAACUCAAAGGAAUUGACGGGGACCCGCACAAGCGGUGGAUGAUGUGGAUUAAUUCGAUGCAACGCGAAAAACCUUACCUACCCUUGACAUGGCUGGAAUCCUUGAGAGAUCAGGGAGUGCUCGAAAGAGAACCAGUACACAGGUGCUGCAUGGCUGUCGUCAGCUCGUGUCGUGAGAUGUUGGGUUAAGUCCCGCAACGAGCGCAACCCUUGUCAUUAGUUGCUACGAAAGGGCACUCUAAUGAGACUGCCGGUGACAAACCGGAGGAAGGUGGGGAUGACGUCAAGUCCUCAUGGCCCUUAUGGGUAGGGCUUCACACGUCAUACAAUGGUACAUACAGAGCGCCGCCAACCCGCGAGGGGGAGCUAAUCGCAGAAAGUGUAUCGUAGUCCGGAUUGUAGUCUGCAACUCGACUGCAUGAAGUUGGAAUCGCUAGUAAUCGCGGAUCAGCAUGUCGCGGUGAAUACGUUCCCGGGUCU
rnacentral:rRNA from 1 species